CCAGCACAGCUGGAGGCGGGUCCCCGCCCUCCCCAGGGAGCAGCCGGUUGAGGCGGGAGCGGUGCAUUGUGGGCAGAGGGGCGGGGGUUGGGAAGAUGGCGGCUCCCAGCCUCCUCAACUGGAGGCGAGUUUCUUCCUUCACGGGGCCGGUCCCCCGCGCCCGGCACGGACACCGAGCGGUGGCCAUCCGGGAGCUGAUGAUCAUCUUUGGAGGGGGAAAUGAGGGCAUCGCGGAUGAGCUGCACGUCUACAACACGGCUACGAAUCAGUGGUUUCUGCCAGCUGUUAGAGGAGAUAUCCCUCCAGGCUGUGCUGCCCAUGGAUUUGUCUGUGAUGGUACCAGAAUAUUAGUAUUUGGGGGAAUGGUUGAAUAUGGAAGAUACAGCAAUGAGUUAUAUGAGUUACAAGCAAGUCGUUGGUUAUGGAAAAAAGUGAAACCCCAUCCCCCUCCUUCUGGUUUACCUCCUUGUCCUCGGCUUGGACAUAGCUUCUCUUUAUAUGGUAACAAAUGCUAUUUGUUUGGUGGCCUGGCAAACGAAAGCGAAGAUUCAAACAAUAAUGUUCCCAGAUAUUUAAAUGAUUUUUAUGAGUUGGAGCUACAGCAUGGCUCUGGUGUUGUGGGUUGGAGCAUUCCAGUGACUAAAGGGGUUGUGCCUUCUCCAAGAGAAUCCCACACAGCUGUUAUAUAUUGCAAAAGAGAUUCUGGAAGUCCUAAAAUGUAUGUUUUUGGUGGAAUGUGUGGUGCUCGCCUGGAUGACCUAUGGCAGCUUGACUUAGAAACUAUGUCAUGGUCAAAACCAGAAACUAAAGGGACAGUGCCACUUCCACGAAGCCUUCAUACAGCCAGUGUUAUAGGAAACAAGAUGUACAUUUUUGGUGGAUGGGUCCCACAUAAGGGGGAAAAUACUGAGACUUCACCUCAUGAUUGUGAAUGGAGAUGUACCAGUUCAUUUUCUUACCUAAAUCUGGAUACAACAGAGUGGACCACCCUAGUAUCAGAUUCUCAGGAAGAUAAAAAAAAUUCAAGACCAAGACCAAGAGCUGGCCACUGCGCUGUUGCAGUUGGCACUCGAUUGUAUUUUUGGAGUGGAAGAGAUGGCUACAAAAAAGCACUGAAUAGUCAAGUUUGCUGCAAGGAUCUUUGGUAUCUUGAUACUGAGAAACCACCGGCACCAUCUCAAGUACAGCUGAUCAAAGCCACUACCAACUCCUUUCAUGUCAAGUGGGAUGAAGUGUCUACAGUUGAGGGCUAUCUUUUGCAGUUGAGUACAGACUUGCCAUACCAAGCUGCAUCAUCAGAUUCUUCAGCAGCACCAAAUAUGCAAGGAGUCAGGAUGGACCCUCACAGACAAGGCAGUAAUAACAUCGUUCCUAACAGUAUCAAUGAUACAAUAAACAGCACAAAAACUGAACAGCCAGCCACAAAAGAAACUUCAAUGAAAAACAAACCAGAGUUUAAAGCACUGAUGGAUUCUAAUGCCAUUUUAUAUCCAUCUUUGGCAUCAAAUGCUUCUAAUCAUAAUAGUCAUGUGGUGGAUAUGCUAAGGAAAAAUGAAGGUCCUCACACUUCAGCAAAUGUAGGUGUUCUAAGUAGUUGCCUGGAUGUAAGAACAGUAAUUCCUGAAACAUCUGUAUCCAGUACUGUUUCCAGCACACAAACUAUGGUAACCCAGCAGACCAUUAAAACUGAAUCAUCCAGUACAAAUGGGGCAGUUGUUAAAGAUGAAACUUCACUAACAACAUUCAGUACCAAAUCUGAAGUUGAUGAAACAUAUGCACUGCCUGCAACGAAGAUCAGCCGUGUAGAGACACAUGCUACAGCAACGCCGUUUUCUACAGAAAUAAAUAACUGAAGUGCACAUUUGUUUUGAGCUUCUGGAAACAGUGUCUCAUUUAUAAGAAGAUGGCUUUAAAAGAAAGAGACUCCUUCAAAUCCAGUGGCCACAGUGAAAGCGGGAGAGCAACAAUGGUGUGAUGUGGGAAUUUUUAAAAAUAAUACAGCUUUGGUGAGCCAGUUUUAUUUGCUGCCAAAAGGGAAGCAAAGCAUCUCAAAGGUAGGAAAUGCAGAUGUACCUGACUACAGCUUGCUUAAGAAACAAGAUCUUGUUCCAGGCACAGGAUACAGAUUCAGGGUUGCUGCAAUCAAUGGUUGUGGGAUAGGUCCUUUCAGCAAAAUCAGUGAAUUUAAAACUUGUAUUCCUGGUUUUCCUGGAGCUCCUUCUGCAGUCAGAAUUUCAAAGAAUGUUGAAGGUAUCCACCUUUCCUGGGAACCUCCAACCUCACCUUCUGGAAAUAUUUUGGAAUAUUCAGCCUACUUGGCUAUCCGCACAGCACAGAUACAAGAUAAUCCAAGUCAACUUGUGUUCAUGAGGAUUUAUUGUGGUCUUAAGACAUCAUGUAUAGUAACUGCUGGGCAACUUGCAAAUGCACAUAUUGAUUAUACAUCCAGGCCUGCCAUUGUGUUCAGGAUAUCAGCAAAGAAUGAAAAGGGAUAUGGACCAGCUACACAAGUUCGGUGGCUUCAAGGUAACAAUAAGAAAGCACCUUUAAAUUGAAUUGGUUUUUUUACUGAAGCUAUUGUGAUGAUGAUUAUUUAUUAGUAACUGGUUAUGAAGAUUUGUCAUUUAAAAGAGUAUUCUCUGGCUGUGUCUCCAGCAGUUAUGAACUUGAGUUUGUAAAUUGUUCUUAAAAUGUAUUUGCUGAAUUAUAGAUCCAAAUAAAAGAAAAGAAGCAAAGACUCUCUGAAAA